rnacentral:rRNA from 1 species
GGAUAACCGUAGUAAUUCUAGAGCUAAUACAUGUAUAAAGUCUUGUAGACUGCAUUUAUUAGAAUGAAAACCAUAGGUUUCGGCCUAUUCGUGAGUAAUAAUAACUAAUCAUAUCGUAUGCUUACGUAACGAUGUGUCUUUCAAGUUUCUGCCCUAUCAGCUUUCGAUGGUAGUGUAUUGGACUACCAUGGCAUAACGGGUAACGAAAAUUGGGUUCGAUUCGGAGAGGGAGCCUGAGAGUGGCUACCACAUCCAGAAGCACAGCGCGUAAUUACCCAUCCUGACCAGGAGGUAUGACAUAAAUCACAAUGCG